GGGUGUGAUCAUACCAACACUAAUGCACCGGAUCCCAUCAGAACUCCGCAGUUAAGCAUGCUUAGGUAAGAGUAGUACUAGGAUGGGUGACCUCCUGGGAAGUCCUCGUGUUGCACCCC
rfam:Arabis alpina cultivar Pajares scaff_41325_1_contig_0, whole genome shotgun sequence.